AUUCUCUAAAAAUGCUCUCUAUUUUUUUUUCUUUUGUUUCUCACGACAGGAGAGAAGAAAGUGGUGACUAAUUAUCUGAUGACUAAGUUGAGUUUCUUCAGAUUACACAAGUCUUGGUGAGAAUAAGACAGCUGGCUUUCUGAUUCAUAACCAUCCACUAAGCAGCUCACUAAUUCCUUCCUUUGAAGAAAUCUCUCUCAGCCACAUGAUUUAAUUUUAAUUAAUCCAGCAAGCAAGCAGCCUGCUUGUGACUAUCAUGUGAUGUUUAAAUAAUUAACUAUGAAUGCAAGCAGCUGAUUGAGAUUGAGAGACACAAGCGAGAAUCAAGAGGUCCUUUUUUUUUUUUUUUUAUAUGAAGGUCAUUACAGGGUAUAAAUUAUUCUUUCCGUUUCACUAAAAAAUAUCAUUAUGAUAUUUUGUAUGCCUAUUAAAAAAUUAUUGAAAUGCAUUUAUGUUCAUUAAUUAUACAUAUUUGAUUGAUAGUAUUUGAGAUAAACAAAAUUAUUUAUACAAUAAAUGCAGUUUACAUUGAAAAAUGCAGUUUACAACUAAUAUCAAACUAAAAAUAAUAUAAAUUAUAAUACAAUUCUUAAAUUGCAUUCCU
rnacentral:lncRNA from 1 species